rnacentral:piRNA from 1 species
UGAACUUGAUGUCCCCACGGACUAAGGCUAC